rnacentral:lncRNA from 10 species
AUUUUUAUUAUUUUAAAUAAUAGAGAUGGGGUCUUGCUAUAUUGCCUAGGCUGGUCUUGAACUCCUGGGCUCAAACAAUCCUGCCUCGACCUCCCAAAGUCAUAGGAUUACAGGCAUGACCCACCAUGCCUGGCCCAUCCUGUUAUUUUUAAAGAAGAGAAACAUCAUUUUUGUCAAUCCUCACAUCUAUGUAUAUCAUUGCCUAACUCUCCCCCAUGUUUAAAAUGACAAACUCUGUUCAUGUCAAACAUCCUAUUCUUUAAUAUAUCAAAAACCUGUUUCCUGACAGAACUAUCAAUUCUUCCAUCUAUUCACUUUGAACAACAGUCUUGAUUUAGUCUGCUUUCUUUCAAAGUGCUAUAUUUAAUAGGGAAGGAGUGUUUAUUACUUCAUGGCAAGUACUGCAGAAGAAUUAAUCAAGAAAAACAGACUGGGCACGGUGGCUCACUCCUGUAAUCCCAACACUUUGGGAGCUGUGGGCGGAUUGCUUGAAGCUAGUAGUUCGAGACCAGCCUGGGCAAUAUGGACAAAACCCAACCUUUGUAAAAAAGUUUAAAAAUUAGCCGGGCAUGAUGGUACAUGUCUGUGGUUCCAGCUACUCAAAAGGCUGAGGCAAAAUGACUGCUUAAGCAUGGAAGGUUGAGGCUGCAGUGAGUCAUGAUCACACCACUGCACUCUAGCCUGGGUGCAUACCCAGGUCUAGCGAGAACUUGUCUCAAAACAAAACAGAAAAAAAAAAAAAAAGAAAGAAAAAGAGAAAGAGAAAAAGCUGUACUGAGAUAGAUAAACCGGGCAGCUGGCAAGGCACAUUUUCUAAGUAAUGGACUCAUUUCUGCACAUUAAAUCAGCAAAAUCACAUACCUCUGCCUAUCUUGAGCCUUCCAGGUUACUUAGGAAUAGUCAAAGCAGGAAUGUUAAAUCCAUAAAUGUCAAACCUAUGUUCUUAUAUAGCAAGCAAACCAUUUAUCUAUCUAAGCACUGAAAGAAAAAAAAACUUCAUAAAAUUUUGGCAUAUAUUUCACUCAAAAUUAUAUUCAUACAUUAAAAAAAAAAAAAAAAGAUGAAGAUCCUGUUUCCCUUCCCUUUGUACCCACGGGGGGGAAAAAAUUACAGGUCAGGCCAUAUUGCCCAAACUGGUCUUGAACUCCUGGCCUCAAAGCUAUCCUCUCACCUCAGCCUCCCAAUGUGCUGGGAUUAUAGGCAUGCACCACCACAUCCAGCUCUCAUACAUGUUUUAUAAUCAGCUUCAUUCACUUUAUAUAUUAUCAGUAUUUCAUCCUGAACUGCUUCUUCAUUUGUUGUUAGAUCUUCUCAUUUUCAGUCUCGGAGAAUUUUGAGAAAAAAGCUGCUUCUGUCAAAUACUGUUUUCUGUGGAGCCUCUUUUUAUGUUGCAGAUUCAUCCAUUUAUGUUAUCUCUUUACAGUGGCCACGUCAUUCACUCACUUGACAUGCACGACAUUCAAUUAUGUGCACUUAGCCAGAAAUAGAGAAUUUAAAUAGUGGUGAGUCUACCAGUCAUUCCAUUCAAGAAGGGUAUGCUCCAGAGAGGUAAGUGUGAGGUAUGUGAUGCAAACCUGCCAUUCCCACGUUAGUCUCUCGUUGGGUAUCUUGCAGAGCAUAAGUACAUCAACAUGCUGUUUAUCAUUGCAGUGUUUAAAAUCUCAGCCCGUACAAUACAAGCCUAUUACCUUAGCUAGCACUCAACUUAAGAAUCACCCUAGCCAUCUAGCCAUCUGUUCAAACGCUGGACAUAAAAGUGACUACCUGCUCUACUGAGAAUUGAUGGGGCAGUCUCCAAUAUGAUUAUGCCUUCUCUAGAAUUUUGUCAAGGGUGAUUUUAGCUAUAUGUGAUUUUUUUCCCUUACUAACAUUAGAACCUAACCCCAUGUAAGAUAUGACUAUACCAUAUUCAUCACCAAAGCCAGAGAAAUAAACAUAAAUGUAAGAUUACCAAGUUUAAUGUAGGAAGGCGGGCUGAGUCACUGCACAGCUUCGAUGUGGCUCAGCCCUCACUGCAGAUAUCUACUGCAGCCCAAGGGUGUUCUCAGUGCUGCAGUUUAGAAGUGGAUGUGGGAGGAGAGGCCUACUCUUGGGUUUCCCUGCACAGCUGGCUUCAAAUAAUUUUGGCUGAAAAGGAUCCCAAGCUAAUUGUCACCCUUUAGUCCCUGCACCUUCAAAUUAAGGGUGUUACUGGAGUCCUACAUUUCCAAUAAAAAUUCAGCUUUCUUGAGCCUAGGAAGUGAGAGCUCUCCACUUCUUCCUUUGAUUUGAAAUAGUUCUCCAAGUCUAAUAGUUCCCCGAAUUCCUUAAAAAUUUUUAAAGGAAAAUUGUAUGUAGGUAGCAACUUACUCUGGUUUCCAGUGUUUCUGCAGGUUUCCUCCAUUUGAUAUAUAAAGGAAAAUACCUUGUACACAAUCCGGGCAUUCCCUUAUUUUCUUUUUCUUUUUUUUUUGCCAUGUUGGCCAGGCUGGUCUCGAACUCCUGACCCCAGGUCAUCUGCCCGCCUCGGCCUCCCAAAGUGCUGGAUCACAGGCAUGAGCCACUGGGCCCAGCCGCAUUCCCUUGUUUUCUUAAUAAGGAAUACAUUGAUAUAUCAUAUUAAGCAUGCUUAAUUAAAUUAAAAAAUGUUUGGGUAAAACAGCAUCUAUGAGCUGCAAAUGUCAUUUAUAUUUAGAAUGAAUUUAUAACAUGUCUUAGAAAAAAACAAGCCGAUUCUUGAACUUUCUUGCCAAAUACAUAGCACAACUGAAAGCCCCUGCUAGCUGCAACUUCCUAACUGGAUUCAGAAUUUCAGUUGGAUUUAACAGGGGGGAAAAGAUGACCUAAUCUAGAUUUUUAAAUGUGGUAAACACCAUUAAGACUUCCACAAAAGUUUUCAUGAAUCCUACAGAAACAUUCUACAGAGCUAGGCAGUUCUAGGACCUUAAUGAUAAGUUAGUUCAAGUGCUUGGACAUGCAUUAAUAUUCUGACAGUUACUGAGUUCUUAUUAGGUUCUGUCAACGGCAUCUAUGCCAGAUUAAAAGGCAUGAGAGAAAGAAUCCAUUCUGCUCCUGGUGAUGCCACCACCAACAGCAGACAGCAGUCGCCCCUGUGAGCUCCUACAGAGGGACAUAUGGCAGAUAAACAGGGGCUCUAGUAGCAGCUACACGACAAGGGAGGCAGACGAUGGUGGACUCUGAACAGUACUCAUCCUUGCAGGGUCAAAGGCUUUCUGUAAUCCUUACCUCUGGAAACACCAUCUUCCUCCCUUUUGUUCCUCUAUUCCUUCUAAUAAUUUGUAACCUUAUUCCCUAAAAAUCAUAUUCCUUCCUUUUUAAAAACAUGCAAAGUGGUUUCUGCUCCUGUCUCCCAACAGGACACUGAUAAAAGCAGGUAAAAUAAGCGAUUUAUCCACAGUCAUGUUCAAAAAUGCAAAAUAGAACACAAUUUGAUGUGACUCCACGUUUCUGGACCUCAAGGGAAUUCCUAAACAUUUACUUAAGCUAGAAUGAAAACAAAGGGGAGAUAAGCCAAUAGUUAUUUAUUUGUUUAUUUUUUCCAAAAAGAAUCACAGAAAGAUUAAAUCAUAAACUAAUCAAGCUUUGGGUUAAAUAGGUUAGGAUGUAAGGGAUAAAGGACAGGAAUGACUAUUACUAAACAAAGAAAAUUGGUAUAUACAUACACAUAUACUGAUAACAAGUCAAUAUUGUAAUUUUAAUAUCUUUAUCAUGUGGAGUUAAAAAAGAAAAGAAUACUAUAACAGUACCAUAUUUUUAGUUUAAGUGUUCUAUGGUCCUGUAUAAUUUAGAAAAGGGUUUAUAAUCUUAAUUUUUACAUCUUGUUUAGUUAAGAAUGCAUGAAAAAUUUCAAGGGGAACCAAUUAAAUAGCAGAAAUAAAAAGGAGUGUUGGGGAGAGCAAGAAAGGAAGAAAAAUAAAAAAAAUUUUAAAUACCAAAAAGAAACCAAACAUAAGGAGAAACAAAUCCCAAUAUGUUAAUAACCACAAUAACCAUACUGAAGCAACAGACUGUCCAUUUAAAUCCAGUGGCUGGAUUAAGGAAAAAAAAAAAACCUAGCCACUUGUGGAGUACACAUUUAAAAAAAUCUAAAAACAAGGACAUAGGUUGAAAGUAAAAAGACUGAGGGUGGGUGGUGGUGGUAACAUACCAGGCAAAAAAUCCUUACCAAAACAGAGCUAGUGCAGUGCACCUACUUUUUUUUUUUUUUUUUUUUUUAUUAAGAUACAUGGUCUUCCUAUGUUGCCCAGGCUGGUCUAGAACUCCUGGCCUCAAGCAAUCCUCCUGCCUUGGCCUCCCAAAGUGCUGGGACUGCAGGCGUGAGCCACUGUGCCACUAAUAAAAUGGCAUGAAAAUAUACAAAGCAAAAACUGACAGAACUAUAGGGAGCAACUGACAAGUCCACUACUAUGGAAUUCAACACAGCUUCCUCAAUUAUUGAUAGCUAUAAAAGAUAAAGUAGUUAAGAUACUUGAUUUUAAUUUUACAUCUAACAAUUAGGGAAUGCAUAGUCUUCCACAGCACAAAUGGAAAAACUGACUAAUACUAGGCCAUAAAGCAAAUCUUAACUAUUUUCUUCCAGACCACCAUCUAUGACUGCAAUUCAUUAAAGUCAGUAACAACAAAAAAAUUAUAAAUCUCUAAUAUUUAGAAAUUAAAAACAUACUUCUAAAUAAUUCCUGGUUAAAAAAGAAAGCACGAGUAUUUAAAAAAAAUAGGAGUUCUAGACCUACCCGGGCAACACAGUAAGACCUUGGCCUUUACAAAAAAAAUUUAAAAAUUAGAUAGGUGUCGUGGUAGAUGCUUAUAUGCCUAUAGUCCUGGCUGCUUGGGAGGCUGAGGUGGGAGGGUCACUUAAGCCUACCCUGGGAGACAGAGUGAGACCCUGUUUCUUUAAAAACAAACAAACAAAACCCUACACAUACCAAAACUUGUCAGGUAUAGCAAGUAUCUCUCAAGGGCUUAUAUCAGAGAAGAAAGCUAAAUCUCAAUGAGCGAUGCAUCCAAUUUAAGAAGUUAGACAAAGAAAGGAGCCCAAAGAAAAUGGAGAAAUAAAAAGCAGAAAUUAAUGAAAAAGAUACAAUAGAAAGGGCCAACAAAGGGGGUGGAUAUGGCAAGCUUAAGAAGUUUUUUUUUUUUUUUUUUUUGAGACAGAGUCUCACUCUGUCGCCCAGGCUGGAGUGUGGUGGCACGAUCUCGGCUCACUGCAACCUCCACCCCUCCCCACGCUGGGUUCAAGUGAUUCUCCUGCCUCAGCCUCCCGAGUAGCUGGGAUUACAGGUGCCCAUCACCGCACCUGGCUGAUUUUUGUAUUUUUAGUACAGACAGGGUUUCACCAUCUUGCCCACGCUGGUCUUGAACUCCUGACCUCGUGAUCCAUCUGCCUCUGCCUCCCAAAGUGCUGGGAUUACAGGUGUGAGCCACCGUGAAGAAGUAUUUUUUAUGAUUCAAAUCUGGUUUUGAAGUUUCAUUCUCCAAGAAGCCUUUGUGUUACACAGCAAUUUUACUACAUUUUAAAAAUAGAUGCUGUAAUGUAAAUGGAUUUACUUAGGUAAGUAGCUUCUAAAUUGAUAAUAGGGUCCGCAGAAGGCAGAAUUCUGAACUUUUGGCUAUUGGCUACAAGCUGGGAAAGGAACCCCAGGAUAUGGUAACACAGAUACAUGUUUACACACAGAUACAUGUAUACGAUGUAUGUAUCCAAAAAACAAAAACAAAAAUCUUAAGAACAGUAUUUUUAAUAAUAGUUAUUGUCUCGGCAUGUGCAUUUUUGUGAAUUGUACCACUGAAAUACAUCAGAAAUCCUUUCUGUGAAUAGGUGGGGUAUAAGUUAUAAAUAUAUACACGUAAAAAGGACACUCAAAUAACUAAGGAUUAUUUUGUAGUCUAUUAUACACUGAGCAGAAUUAUGUCUCAAUGACUGAUACCACUUUUCAGCCUUCGGCAGAGGAGGGUUAUACAGCAACGUCAGCAAUAAAAAUCUGACCACUCUAAGCAAAUUCUCCUCUAUCUGCUCAGCAACAUGUUGACUGAUGCACUGAUUGACGAAUAACUAGAAAGGAUUAAUGAAAGCCAACAAAUCCUUUGGGAUACUGCCAGGAAGGUACCAAUACUGUAUCAAGCUCUAUGGAAAAUUACUGUUGUCAUUCUAUUAAGUCUUUGUUUGCCUAGUGCCUAGCAUUUAAUGAAUGUUCAAUAAAAGUUCAUUCAUCUGAAUGAAAAAAUACAAUGUACUUGUUUCCAUAAAGCUAUAAAGCUAAGAAACUUUCUUCACACUUGAGGAUUUCACCAUCAGCUCAUCUUUAAUAUUUUAUGUUAUAGUAAACACAGCUUCUGGAUUAGAAGUUAAGUAUUCAAGUCUUGCACAAACAAAAGAAGCAACCCUAACAAACUGUUGUAUCGCAAACUGCUAAGACGGCUAAGAGAAACAUUUAAAAACUUUUCUGAGGUUUACCUCUAGGCUGUUAGGAAUCGAUGGUUGCAGAGACCAAGGGAGCAUGUUGUGUUCACUCUGAAUAGAAAUAGAAAACAUGGAUGAGGCGGUUGCUCACACCUGCAGUCCCAGCUACUUGGAGGCUGAGGUGGGAGGCUAGGUGAACCCAGGAGUUCAAGGCGGCAAUAUGCUAUCAUUGUGCCAUUGCACCCCAGCCUGGGCGACAGAGUAAGACCCUGUCUCAAACAUAACAAAAACAUUCUUCAGCCUUUAGGUAACCAAAAGUAGUUGUCAAAAGAGCUCCUGAAAAUACCAAUAUGAACUCCUAUUUUUAAAAUACUGGAAGCAUGGGAAAACAAUUUAUAUCUCUUUAUGGUUGAUAUAUUAAAAUAAUGCAGAUAAAGGUUCUUUUCCUCUUCUACCACUCAUAAAGGCACCAACCUGUAUCUCUUACCUGACAAAUAAUUUCAUUGACAGCUUUCCUGUGGGUAUCCUUUCCAAGACAUAUUAGUUUGGUGAGUCUUAUAACCUCUAGAAAACUUGCUAUUGAGAUCUUAAAAAAAAAAUUAAGGCCACAACACAAACGAAAAAAUAUAUACACACAUCACUGUAGUUUCGUUCAAGAGUUCUUAAGUGGGUCUAAGCUAAGGUUUUCAUCUUACCAUGGUCUAUUCUUCUCUGUGGUACUAGCAUUGUCAUUUGUUUUGAAAUAGUACUUUGGCAAAGGUUUUAACAGAAAAGUUCUGAGGAAAAUCCAUUCAACCAUUUUGUAAAUAAUGUCAAGCACAAUGUUGAGUGCUGUGAGAGAACAGAUAUAUAAACCAGGGUCCCUGAGCAUAAGCUGCUCACAGUGCAAUUAAAAUUACCAUCUUUUUUUUUUUUUUUUUUGAGACAGGGUCUCCCUCAGUCACCCAGUGGCGCCAUCAAAGCUCACUGUGGUGCCAUCAAAGGUCCCUGUGGUUUUGACCUCCUGGAGGUCAAGUGAUCCUCCCCUCAGCCUCUGGAGUAGGUGGGACUACAGGUGUAGAUUUAUUAUUUUAGAGACGGGGUUUUGCUAUGUUGCCCAGGCCGGUCUCAAACUCCUGGCCUCAAGCGAUCUUCCCACCUUGGCUUCCCAAAGUGCUGGGAUUACAGGCAAGAGCCACCCUGUAGGGCCAGAAUUAUCUGUUUUAAGUUUCCACUUGCCUCUUCUCCCCUCCAGGACUAGUACACAUGCCUUAGCUUACUGCUGAUAGAUUCAUGAGAUCUGUACUCAAAACUUUUAAAUGUUUUGUUUUCACUUCAGUGGUUAUCUCAAAGGCAAAUAUAAGCAUAUUCUGGGGAAUCUGAAUCACCACGUUGCAUCUAAGUAGUGCUAUGUGGGUUCUGCAUCUGAGCUUUCUUUGACAAAGACUCAGCAGGUUACUCCAACUGUCCAAGAAAAUGAGAAAAGAAUGGAGCUGAACUUAAAAUGUGAUUGUAUCUAUGACUCUGGAAACUUAGUGACCUCAUAGUUUACUCUUAAAAGGGGAACUGAGCCACCACAUGGCCUAGGGGAGUGUUUACUUGACAAACUCAAAAACUCCCUCAACUUUUAACAAUUGCUGCCAUAUUCCAAAUACAUUGGAAAUUUAGUUUCAGCAAAAUACCAAGCACACAAUCAAAAAUUUAGACUGGCUUUGUUGUAUUUAAUCUGUUUUAGUUUAAAUUUUAUUUUAUUUUUUUGAGAUGCAGUCUCACUCUGUUGCCCAGGCUAGAGUGCAGUGGCACGAUCUCGGCUAACUGCACCCUCCGCCUCCCAGGUUCAAGCAAUUCUCCUGCCUCAGCCUCCUGAGUAGCUGGAACUACAGGUGCGUGCCACCACACCCGGAUAAUUUUUGUAUUUUUUAGUAGAGAGGGGGUUUCCCCAUAUUGGCCAGGCUGGUAUCGAACUCCUGACCUCAUGAUCCGCCAGCCUCGGCCUCCCAAAGCGCUGGGAUUACAGGUGUGAGCCACCGUGCCCGGCCAAAUUUUAUUUUAUUUAUUUUCUGACACAGAAUCUUGUUCUGUUGCCCAGGCAGGAGUACAGUGGUAUGAUCUCAGCUCACUGCAACCUCUGCCUCCUGGGUUCAAGCAAUUCUUAUGCCUCAGUCUCCCGAGUAGCUGGGAUUAUAGGUGUGGGCCACCAUGCCUGGCUAGUUUUUGUACUUUUAGUAAAGACAGGGUUUCACCGUGUUGGCCAGGCUGGUCUUCAACUCCUGGCUUCAAGUGAUCCACUCGCCAUGACCUCCCAAAGUGCUGGGAUUACAGCUGUGAGCCACAGCACAGGCCUUUUAAAUUUUUAAAAAAUAUUUUAAAAGUAGCUCACUGUAGCCUCGAACUCCUGGUCUCAAGUGAUCCUCCCACCUCAGCCUCCCAAGUAGCUGGGACUACAGGCCUACAGACAUGCCACCACACCUGGCUAAUUUUUAUUUUAUUUUAUUUUAUUUUGUAGAGACAGAAUCUUACUAUGUUGACCAGGCUGGUCUCAAACUCCUGGCCUCAAGCAAUCCUCCUGCCUCAGCCUCCCAAAGUGCCAGAAUUAUAGGCAAGAGCCACCACGCCUGGCUGUUUUAGUCUUAGAGUGGUAUACAAGUUAAGAGAUAAGAGUUUAUACUUAUUUUUUAUGUUUGUACAUAUUGUUUCCUAAUACAAGACAGGAAUCUAUCUGGUUUUCUUCUCUUACCAAGGGUGCACACACCACUCAAGAUAGAGAAAGUGACUUAGCUUUUACUCCAUGCAAGGCCCAGCUAUCUACCUUAAUUCUUUAGCGGCAACAGGCAACCUACCAGUAAACUAUAAAGGUAUUUUUAGCUGAAUACUUUGGCUUUAAGUGGAAGGUCAAUUGGGUACACAGACAAUAACUUAAUUUUUUAGGUCAUCGAACUGAUCUUCCAAAUAGAAGAAACAGGUGAUUUGGCCCACAGGAACACAGAAGUGACUGUGCACAUUUUCUUCAUGGUUAGGGACACCAUCCACGCCACAGGCACUUAGCAUUUACAGCCAAUCCUCAAUUUAAGAAGGAACAUUAUAUUCCUAACACACUUUGGUUGAUUUUAAUGACAGCAGCUAAAACCAAAGCACCUUAAAUGUUUAAUGUAGACAAUCAAUAAGAGAAAACGUUCAAGCUAUCCUUAAUAUUGUUAAAAGAUACAUUAGGCUUUUCCAAGUAAAAGUAUUUACACUCUAGAAGUCAAUACUGCAUACUUUGGCAACAUACUAACAGAACUUAUCAAAGAAAAUUACAUAGCACACUACUGUGCACCAGAAGUUAAUGCUAAGUUUGAUGUAAGUGUUUAAGGCAAACCACCACAGACAGGGACUUGUUAUUUUUGGGGGCUCCUAAAUUUCAAGCAAUAAUGAACACAAUACGCAUUUUACAAUAAGCAGGUGAUACUUAAUAAUACUGUUAAGAUUGCAAACUUUAAUAUUUGUAUUUUUGCCCCCAAAAUCCAUUUUUUUGGUAAUGCGUAAAUAUAUCUAUUUUCACGGGAUAUUCUCAAAUAAUGUGGUAACUUGGACUUUUACCUAUGCUAUAUGUUUUCUUGUUUUUCAAUUACUUUAACAUCCUAACAGAAGCACCCAACUUAAGAAAAGUUAACACGGUUUUAAGAACAUAUGGAAUGGGCUUAGAACACUAAUCCAAUUCCCAACUUAAUUAGGACAUAAGUGCAACAUUAAGCAGAAACCCGCACGAAGGUCAAGCAGUAGACCAAAAUCGUAUUUAACGGCAACACAACCUGAUUUGUAAGAAAAAUUGUUGAUAAACAAUUUAGGAGACAAGAUACCUCGGCCCUUUCUCACUUCUCGGCCAGUCACACCUGCCUAGGAGGGCAGGGCGGUGGAAAUAAUUACAGUGGGAGAGACAAACACCAGCCUAGAUAAAUACAAAGGCUUGAUAUUCAUAAUUUGAACCACAGUGACACUCCCGGCCUAUUCCCCUACAUCAGGAAGACACAAGGGCGUUUACAAAAUAUUCCUGUUUCCAAUAAAACCCUGAUUAAUUUCGUGAGUAAAAUUUUAAAAUUCCACCCUUUCGAUUUUUAGUCAAGUACCAUAUUUGAGUCCCAUCGACUGAAACCUUUUUGAGCACAGACUGCGCUGCACACUACACCUGACUCACCUCCUCUAGGCCUCACCCCGCCGUGGGAGGCAAGCACC